rnacentral:rRNA from 1 species
AACGAACGCUGGCGGCAGGCCUAACACAUGCAAGUCGAGCGCCCUUUCGGGGGAGCGGCGGCCGGGUGAGUAACGCGUGGGAAUAUGCCCUUCUCUACGGAAUAGCCUCGGGAAACUGAGAGUAAUACCGUAUACGCCCUUUGGGGGAAAGAUUUAUCGGGGAAGGAUUAGCCCGCGUUGGAUUAGGUAGUUGGUGGGGUAAUGGCCUACCAAGCCGACGAUCCAUAGCUGGUUUGAGAGGAUGAUCAGCCACACUGGGACUGAGACACGGCCCAGACUCCUGCGGGAGGCAGCAGUGGGGAAUCUUAGACAAUGGGGGCGACCCUGAUCUAGCCAUGCCGCGUGAGUGAUGAAGGCCUUAGGGUUGUAAAGCUCUUUCAGCUGGGAAGAUAAUGACGGUACCAGCAGAAGAAGCCCCGGCUAACUCCGUG